GCAUUCCUGAACUUUUUUCGAAUUUUUGACUGUAUCGUUUUCUUUAAUUUGAAAACAACUUUCUAAAAUAGUUUUGAAUAUUAUGAGAAGUUUUUCUUCUUCAAUUUUUUCCUCAUUAAUAUUUCCACAUCAAUCCUAUCUGAAAAAGUCCAUGUUAAAUCAAUAGUCGCAUCUCUCGAAAUUUAUUGAUAUUAUAAAAAAUGUAGUUCACUGUAACAACAUAACCCGCUUGAUUGUUAUCAUUGCAGUUUUCAUGUCGAGUAACGUGUAUUGUGUACAAUCAUUUGAAGAAAGAAACGUGUUACAUACAGGGUUUAACUAAAAUAAGGUAAUAAACUUCGAGGCUCCUCACACAUAUAUUCAUGUGAACUUUUUUUCAUGUAAAUUUUUUUGGUGUAGGAAGCUCAAACCCGAAAUUUUGUUAUCUUAUUUUAGUUAUACCCCUUAUCUUAUUUAGUUUAUAUCCUGUAUAUGCAACGCGUUUCUCUCUUCAAAUGAUUUCAAAUCAUCGAAAAAUUAAUCGGUAAUGAUUAAUAGUGAUGAUAGAUUAAUUCGUUUGUAAGUGCCACAUAUUAUGUGUGAAAUAAAUCCGUGAAAGCGUCAAUAUGUGAUACAAUUUAUAAAAGAAGGAAAACUUCUGAUUGAUUAUUGUAAUUGCGCGUAAUGUUUUUUUCGUCAAAUAAUUUUCAGUGAAUGAUAAAUCAGUGAUUUAUAGAAUUCCAUGUUUAUAUUGUUGAUGGCAUGUUACAAUCAUAUCAUGUUUUACUAUUAAAAUUGAUUUAACUAAAUCUACAUUUGUUGGAAAAUUGAUGCCUUCGUGAUACGACAAUUUUGGAUAGCAACAUGCUAGCGACUUCGAAAUAAUCAUCAAAAUUUGUGUUUGUAUUACGUUACCCAUAAUAAUUUCAUACAAUGUUAUUAUAUUAUUAACAACAUGAGCUAACUUUGAUUGUGCAUAUGUACAUAUGUACAUUACCUGCAUGUUGCUUCAAUGUCAAUAUAUUCGAAAUUGAACGCAAAUAUAAAACCAAUUGCCAACAUUAUUUACAAUUACAGAUUUGAACAAUUUUGCUUAGACACGCUUUGUUAUCUGAUAUAUAAACAGAUAGAUUUGUUUGUAAAUCAAUCAGGUACGUGAGUAAAUUCGAGAAUGUGUUGAUAUAAUUUAUAGAAGAUAAAAAUUUUGAAUUAUUACUCGUUGAAAAAUUGUCACAUAAAAACGUAAUACGUGUGACCUUAUUGCUAAUCCACGGUUGUGAAAUUAUUCGCCCGUCAAGUUACAACACACAAUGUGAAAACAUUGAGCUUUUACAAUAUAAUAGUCUAUCUUGUAAGUAUAUCUAAUAAAGUAAACGAGAAAGAGAGAAAGAGGUAUGUGUAUGUGUGUACACGUGUAAUAGAGUGAUGUCAUGAAUGUAUAUGCUCUGUACCUUUGAUUAUAGCAAAGAGCAAAUGCUUCGCCCGCAUCGAAUGAAUCGUGCCACCCCUGUCUAUCUUUUAUACAAUCAUUUUAAAAUUGCAUCAAAAAUGCAAUACUUAGAGCGGAGAGAGAAGAGAGAGCAAAUGGUUUUGUUUUGAAUUACCCUGUACAUAUAUGAAUAAAAAAUCACAAAAGA
rnacentral:lncRNA from 13 species